AUCCUUUUGAGGCCUAUUGGCUAAGAUAAGUGUAGUAUCUGUUUUUAUCAGUUUAAUAUUUGAUAUGUGAGCCAUUAGCUCACAUGAUACAACAACAACAACAAACCCAGU
rnacentral:snRNA from 1 species